CUGCCACGUCCUGACCAAACUACAAUAACAAUUAACCCUUAUACUGGCCAGGACGUGACAACUAUGGAUUAUUUCGAACCAAAACAACAUUUGUUGUUGAAGUAGAAGUCCUGGGGGUGCAUUCUGACGAAGAACAGCAAAGAGUGCUGAACAAGAUGGAUGGACUGUGACAGCCUUACUGGCACAGGACACUAAGACCAUUGCCAACCAGCGUGUAUACUACCCUAAAAACAUGUCUCAAACAAAGAUUGAGGCAGCUUCUGUGGAUGCGAUCAGCCUGAGCCAAACAGGAAAUAUGUUUGACGUAUUGGCAGCUGGGUGUUUCGUGACCGGCGUAACAUUUCUUGCUAUGAUACAAGAUGACUGUUGGUCUCUAGCUACACUAAACAGAGGGACAGGACCUGUCUCAAUUACAAGGUGUGCUUCUGCUGCCCAUGCCCAAGGACCUUAAAACCACGGCGGAGGAUUCCAAAACAUUCAACCAUCCCAAAACCACCAAAGAUCCCAAGACCACCAUAUCCUCAAAGAAAACACAUCCCAAGAAUACCCAGAUGGCACCAUACUAAUUAAAAGGGUAACGCACC
rnacentral:lncRNA from 1 species